GACGAACGCUGGCGGCGUGCUUAACACAUGCAAGUCGAACGGAAAGGCCCUGCUUUUGUGGGGUGCUCGAGUGGCGAACGGGUGAGUAACACGUGAGUAACCUGCCCUUGACUUUGGGAUAACUUCAGGAAACUGGGGCUAAUACCGGAUAGGAGCUCCUGCUGCAUGGUGGGGGUUGGAAAGUUUCGGCGGUUGGGGAUGGACUCGCGGCUUAUCAGCUUGUUGGUGGGGUAGUGGCUUACCAAGGCUUUGACGGGUAGCCGGCCUGAGAGGGUGACCGGCGACAUUGGGACUGAGAUACGGCACAGAGUCCUACGGGAGGCAGCAGUGGGGAAUAUUGCACAAUGGGCGGAAGCCUGAUGCAGCAACGCCGCGUGCGGGAUGACGGCCUUCGGGUUGUAAACCGCUUUCGGCUGUGACGAAGCGUGAGUGACGGUAAUGGGUAAAGAAGCACCGGCUAACUACGUG
rnacentral:rRNA from 1 species